UACGUAGGUGGCAAGCGUUAUCCGGAAUACUGGGCGUAAAGCGCACGCAGGCGGUCUUGUAAGUUUGGCGUGAAAGCUCCCGGCUUAACUGGGAGAGGUCGCUGAAGACUGCAAGACUUGAGGCAAUGAGAGGGGUGUAGAAUUCCUGGUGUAGUGGUGGAAGUGCGUAGAGAUGUGGAGGAACACCGAUGGCGAAGGCAGCCUCCUGGGCCAGCACUGACGCUCAUGCACGAAAGCGUGGGGAGCAAACGGG
rnacentral:rRNA from 1 species